AGUGAACGCUGGCGGUAGGCCUAACACAUGCAAGUCGAACGGCAGCACAGUAAGAGCUUGCUCUUACGGGUGGCGAGUGGCGGACGGGUGAGGAAUACAUCGGAAUCUACUUUUUCGUGGGGGAUAACGUAGGGAAACUUACGCUAAUACCUCAUACGUCCUACGGGUGAAAUCAGGGGAUCUUCGGACCUUGCGCGAUUGAAUGAGCCGAUGUCGGAUUAGCUAGUUGGCGGGGUAAAGGCCCACCAAGGCGACGAUCCGUAGCUGGUCUGAGAGGAUGAUCAGCCACACUGGAACUGAGACACGGUCCAGACUCCUACGGGAGGCAGCAGUGGGGAAUAUUGGACAAAGGGCGCAAGCCUGAUCCAGCCAUACCGCGUGGGUGAAGAAGGCCUUCGGGUUGUAAAGCCCUUUUGUUGGGAAAGAAAAGCAGCAGGUUAAUACCCCGCUGUUCUGACGGUACCCAAAGAAUAAGCACCGGCUAACUUCGUG
rnacentral:rRNA from 1 species